rnacentral:rRNA from 1 species
UACGGGGGGGGCAAGCGUUGUUCGGAAUUACUGGGCGUAAAGGGCGCGUAGGCGGCCUUCUAAGUCGAACGUGAAAUCCCCGGGCUCAACCCGGGAACUGCGUCCGAUACUGGAAGGCUUGAAUCCGGGAGAGGGAUGCGGAAUUCCAGGUGUAGCGGUGAAAUGCGUAGAUAUCUGGAGGAACACCGGUGGCGAAGGCGGGUCUCUGGGCAACAACUGACGCUGAGGAGCGAAAGCGUGGGGAGCGAACAGG